rnacentral:rRNA from 1 species
CGGUAUAGGUAAAGACAGUUACAGAUAGUAGUAUCCUGAGUAGUGCGGGGCACGUGAAACCCUGUAUGAAUUUGGCGGGACCAUCCGUUAAGGCUAAAUACUCCUGAGAGACCGAUAGUGAACCAGUACCGUGAGGGAAAGGCGAAAAGAACCCCUGUGAGGGGAGUGAAAUAGAACCUGAAACCGUAUACGUACAAGCAGUGGGAGCAGACUUGUUCUGUGACUGCGUACCUUUUGUAUAAUGGGUCAGCGACUUAAUUUAUGUAGCGAGCUUAACCGAAUAGGGGAGGCGAAGGGAAACCGAGUCUUAAUAGGGCGAUUAGUUGCAUGGAUUAGACCCGAAACCUGG